AACGAACGCUGGCGGCAUGCCUAACACAUGCAAGUCGAACGAGACCUUCGAGUCUAGUGGCGCACGGGUGCGUAACGCGUGGGAACCUGCCCUUAGGUUCGGAAUAACUCCCCGAAAGGGGUGCUAAUAACGGAUAAUGUCUUCGGACCAAAGAUUUAUCGCCUUUGGAUGGGCCUGCGUUGGAUUAGCUAGUUGGUAGGGUAAAAGCCUACCAAGGCGACGCUCCAUAGCUGGUCUGAGAGGAUGAUCAGCCACACUGGGACUGAGACACGGCCCAGACUCCUACGGGAGGCAGCAGUGGGGAAUAUUGGACAAUGGGCGAAAGCCUGAUCCAGCAAUGCCGCGGGAGUGAUGAAGGCCUUAGGGUUGUAAAGCUCUUUUACCCGGGAUGAUAAUGACAGUACCGGGAGAAUAAGCUCCGGCUAACUCCGUG
rnacentral:rRNA from 1 species